rnacentral:ncRNA from 1 species
AAAUUGAAGAGUUUGAUCAUGGCUCAGAUUGAACGCUGGCGGCAGGCCUAACACAUGCAAGUCGAGCGGUAGCACAGAGAGCUUGCUCUCGGGUGACGAGCGGCGGACGGGUGAGUAAUGUCUGGGAAACUGCCUGAUGGAGGGGGAUAACUACUGGAAACGGUAGCUAAUACCGCAUAAUGUCGCAAGACCAAAGUGGGGGACCUUCGGGCCUCAUGCCAUCAGAUGUGCCCAGAUGGGAUUAGCUAGUAGGUGGGGUAACGGCUCACCUAGGCGACGAUCCCUAGCUGGUCUGAGAGGAUGACCAGCCACACUGGAACUGAGACACGGUCCAGACUCCUACGGGAGGCAGCAGUGGGGAAUAUUGCACAAUGGGCGCAAGCCUGAUGCAGCCAUGCCGCGUGUGUGAAGAAGGCCUUCGGGUUGUAAAGCACUUUCAGCGGGGAGGAAGGCGUUAAGGUUAAUAACCUUGGCGAUUGACGUUACCCGCAGAAGAAGCACCGGCUAACUCCGUGCCAGCAGCCGCGGUAAUACGGAGGGUGCAAGCGUUAAUCGGAAUUACUGGGCGUAAAGCGCACGCAGGCGGUCUGUCAAGUU